UGACUCGCAGCUCGCGGCUGUUGGGACUGCCGUGACGUCAGCCGCGCUGCGGCUUCUCACUCACUCAGAGGCAAGUGCUGAGCUAUUUGUGCUGUCUUACCUAGUCCCGUCCGCUCCCGACUCAACCGGUGCCCAGCCCGUUGCUGGAGAGGUGAGGUACAUUCUGCAGAUCCCUGAUGAACCAAGGGAACCCACCACCGUACCCGGGCCCAGGCCCGACAGCCCCGUACCCACCUUAUCCACAGCCACCAAUGGGGCCUGAGGCCUAUCCCCCAGGACCUAUGGGAGGACCUUACCCACCUCCUCAGGGGUACCCCUACCAAGGGUACCCACAGUAUGGCUGGCAAGGUGGACCUCAGGAGCCUCCUAAAACCACAGUGUAUGUGACGGAACAGGAAAGGAAGACGGAGGACACCGCGUGCCAGGCGGCCUUGGCUGCGUGCUGGGCUGCGCUCUGCUGCUGCUGCCUCCUGGAGAACCUGGACUGAGGAGCCGGGACCGCGGGCUCCCCGGCGCGGCGCGCUGCCUCCUGCCACGGGGAUAAACGACUAGCGCUGCACGGUGUCCAUGUGUCCAUUCUUUCUCUGAAAAUUACCUAUCUGCAGACUUUCACAUUUUAGCACUUUAGACGGGUGUGAAAUGGUAUCUCACUAUUCCGCUUUACCUUCCUUCAUUAUUAGUGAUCUUGAACAUAAAAAUACAGAAUUUUGGUAAUUUGCUUUUAUAGAUUUUGUGAAUAGCUUUUAUAUAUAUAUUUUAGCUCAUUUUUUCUAAUUGUCUUUUCUUACUGACUUGUAAGGAGUCUUUAAGUAUUUCCUCAUACUAACAUUUGUCACUUUUAUAGGUUUGCAUAUAUCUUCUCCCUAUCUCUCUCUUAACCUUUCUUAUAGUGUAUUUUCUAGUAUGAAAGUUUUUUAAUGUCUUGCUUGUCAAUCUUUCCCACAUGCUUUGUGUAUUUUACUCUUUGAAAAAUAAAUUUCUAUUCUAAGACCAUAAAGAUAAGCCUAUAUUUUUUUCUGAGGAUUUUUCACCUAGAAUCUUUAGUCCACCUAAAUUUAUUUUUGAUCAUGGUACAGGUUCCGGGUUUCUUUCCCCACUUUUGAGAGUUCCAACACCACGUACUGGCCAGGUCAUCUUUUACCCGCUGCUUUGAAGAGAGAUUCGUCACACUCCAAGUCCCCGUGUACGGCUGGGCUGGAAUCAGAAGCCGGGCGUGCUGAGCAUCUUCCUCAGCCCCAGGCACGCCCAUUUUCCUUCCUCAGAAUGUUCUUAGCUAGAUUCUGUGGGAAACCCCCAAGCUGGGCUUUACCUGGGGUGAUGUGAUUUAUAGAGUGACUGGGGAAGAGCUGGCUUGUUCACAGGGUUUUCUUCCUGUCGUGAACGUGUUGUCUCUCCACUUAUUUCUGUCUUUUAUGUCCUUCAAUAAAGUCAUGUAAUUUUCUUCAUAAA